rnacentral:rRNA from 1 species
AUUGAACGCUGGCGGCAGACCUAACACAUGCAAGUCGAACGAGUGGCGGACGGGUGAGUAAUGUCUGGGAAACUGCCCGAUGGUGGGGGAUAACUACUGGAAACGGUAGCUAAUACCGCAUACAAUCAGAUGUGCCCAGAUGGGAUUAGCUUGUUGGUGGGGUAACGGCUCACCAAGGCGACGAUCCCUAGCUGGUCUGAGAGGAUGACCAGCCACACGGGAACUGCGACAAGAUCCAGACUCCUACGGAAGGCAGCAGUGGGGAAUAUUGCACAAGGGGCGCGAGCCUGAUGCAGCCAUGCCGCGUGUAUGAGGAAGGCGUUCGGGUUGUAAAGUACUUUCAGCGGGGAGGCGUUACCCGCAGAAGAAGCACCGGCUAACUCCGUGCCAGCCGCCGCGGUAAUAC